rnacentral:lncRNA from 1 species
AGUAUAAAUGCAUAAAUAUAUUUAUAUGUAGGUACAUGCAUACAGAUAUAGAGAUGUAGAUCUAUUUAGAGAGAGAGAGGAAACAGCAGAAUGUCAAUGACUGAGGAAUAUGGGUGACAGGUAUUGUAAAGUUUAUUGUAAUAUUUUUUGCAACUUUUUGCUACAUUUUUUCAAAAUAAAAAGCUAAAAAAGGUAUAAAUGCCUGUAUAAAAAUGGAAGAAAAGAUAGUGUUUGCUAUUAUUUUACUUAUAACUUUAUAACUUGGGGAACAUGAAGAGAGUGAGAGAAGAGGUGAGGUUUGUUUCCAUUGUGAGCAUGAAGAGGACAUGCAGGUUUCUUUCUGUUUCUUUGGCAGUGCCCAUGAAUGGACUGUGGGGCACUCUGUGAUCCCUUGGGAUCAAAGAAUGAAGGUUUCCUAUACUCACUGACACUUGUCCUCUCUCCCCAGUGAAUCAGCCAAUUCCUCAUGUCUUCGCGGCUCCAUCUACUGUCAUGCAGUCAUAGCGCCACAAUUCACAUUUCCCAAGGGCUUUGAAACUAUUUAAUAGAUAAUCUUCAUUCCACUUUAGGAACUAGAAACCCAGGAAAUCUGGUGAUGAAUACAGAUUGGAUCAGAGAACGGGGGAGCAGAUGGUGUGAAUCCCACCUGGAAAGCCAGAGAAGACGAGAUGAAAUGAGACAUCACAGCUCAGCAGUGAGGAAAGACAAACUGUUCUUGUACCUCUGUCAUUGUAAUGAAAAGACAUACUCAGCUUAACCUACUGGUCCCAGGAAGAGGAUGAGCAAUAACGUGGAACAGAGCCAACCUAGACGGGUAUAAGUAAGCCAGCUGGACUGUGAAUGUAUGAGCAAGUCAGGCCCAGAUCAAUGGAAUCCCACAGAUGCAUGAGAAAUAAAUGCAUGCUAUUGAGAUUUUGUGGUUGUAUGCAACAU